GUGCGUUAGAUUAUGACUGAACGCCUCUAAGUCAGAAUCUAGGCUAGAAGCGGUGCAUGUGAUCGCCGCUUGUUUGCCGACCCUCAGUAGGGGCCUUAUGGUCCCCAAAGACACGUGUCGCAUGUUGCGUUCGCGUGGCAGAUCUGCCGCGCGAUCCGCCUAGUAUUGCAAUUCCCACCGAGCGGCGAGUAGAAUCCUUUGUAGACGACUUAAAUACGCGACGGGGUAUUGUAAGUGGCGGAGUGGCCUUGCUACCACGAUCCACUGAGA
rnacentral:rRNA from 1 species